rnacentral:rRNA from 1 species
UACGGGGGGGGCAAGCGUUGUCCGGAAUUAUUGGGCGUAAAGAGCUCGUAGGCGGUUUGUCGCGUCUGCUGUGAAAACUCGGGGCUUAACCCCGGGCCUGCAGUGGGUACGGGCAGACUGGAGGUAUGCAGGGGAGAACGGAAUUCCUGGUGUAGCGGUGAAAUGCGCAGAUAUCAGGAGGAACACCGGUGGCGAAGGCGGUUCUCUGGGCAUGUCCUGACGCUGAGGAGCGAAAGUGUGGGGAGCGAACAGG